AUGUAAGCUUUUCUAGUCUUUUAUUCUCAUGAGUUGUGUCAAUUUGAAUAAAUCAGUUCUUUCUUGUUUCUAUUGAACUGCAAUUUUUGCGUUUGUUAAUGAUGUUCUUGAAUAAUGAAUGAACUACAUUGAAUUGUUAUUAUGAUUACAUUGUUCACUUGUGUCAAUGGAUGACGAAUAGAUGAUAAUGAUUAUGAGACAUUCAUCAAUGAUAACCUUGUAUUUACGUUUUUUUUUGUGGUGAAUAAAAGUAUCCAGUAAAGUUUUUUCUCUUUCAUGGAUAUACAUGUAGCCUCUAUUCAUGUUCAUAUGUUGUGUAUUAACUGACAGUGAAAAUUGUUGACAAUUGCGAACGAGCAACAAUAAUGAUAAUAAUAAUGAUCGUGAUUUGAUAAGCAAGAUAAAGACAAUUUGGCUAUCAAAUGAAGCCAACAGAAUAGACAACAACAGGAAAAGGACGUAACCUGUACCAGACAAAAUUACAUGUUGGACUCUUUUUGUUUAUUCCAGAUGAUUUGUAAAAAAAGAAGAAGAAGAAGAAGAGGAAGAUGAGGCCAAAAGAUUCUGUAAAAGGAUAAUGAUGGCCCUCUAUGAAGAAUUGAAAUGCUGUUUGCCAUAUUUUGAGUUUCCCUUCAGGCAAUCACUGGUUAAAUUGGUUAUUUUUUUAUUUAUAUUUCGGUUCUCAUCUGAAAAUUUCAUCCAAAGAAUCAUCCCCUUUUGAUUAUGAUUAUGCCAAAGAUGUUAAAUAAGAUUAUCAAUUUGGCCUGAAGCAAACGAUCUUACUUUUACUGUGGCGCCCUUAAAGCAAACCAAAACAUCUAUUGAAAGGAAACAUCCUCAACAGCAUCAAAAUUGAUUGUCACAUUGAUUGUUUUCUUUGCAUUAUAAUCAUUGUCAACUUUAAUCUUAUUUUACUUUAAUCAUUUCAAUUUUGACACUUUGUAUUCAAAGUCUAUUUUCUGGUUUCUUCAUCACUUUUACACUAAUAUUGGCAAGUAUCAACACACACACAACUGGAAUGUUAUACACUAAUCCAAUUCGAUUAUUGUAGUAACCAAAACGUUUAUUCAUAUUUUUGAUUGAUUAGGAGGUUUUGGAGAGCCAACAAAUAAUAUUUAAAUUGAUGUAUUACAUUAUAAUUCAUUGAAUUAAUUCCAUCUUUUUCAUCUUUCUUCCUUCCUUCAUUGGCUGCAAACUUCUUGGGCUUUAAAACUGGUUAAAAAAAGGAACCAUUAAUGCAAAAGCUGACUUUUUUUUAAUAUUACUUGAAGAGCCUUUAAGGAUGUUUUAUGUUGUAAUAAUACAAAGUAUGAUGAUGACAAUGACUUGUAAUGUCCAUGAAAAUUGUCAACAAAUUGAUGUUAUAACUCAAAAUUGGUUUAUAAUGGCUUUUAUCCAGACGGUGAACAGACUCAUAACCAUCAUCAUCACCAUCACCACUAUCAUCAUCAUUAUUAUCAUCUCUAUCAUUCCAGUCAGCUUUAUGUAUUCAUUUAAACACUGUUCAUGGCAUUCUCAUCUUUUCAUCUUAUUCUUGGCCGUCUCUUUACACGUCUCAGACUCAAGAUAAAGACUCAACAAGAAGAUAAAGAAUAUUUCAAGAUAUUUUGCUCCUCAUCCAUCACUGACAUUCACCGAUGAAAAAGAGAAAAAGAAAGUGGCUUCUCAUCAAACAUACACACCUCCUGCUCCUUCUCAUCAGCAAUAAUCAUUUUGAUUCAUUGGUUUCUCUUUCACUUUGUUUAUCCCUUUCCGGUUCUGGGCUGGUCUCCUCUACUUCCCUUAACCUUGGUUAUCUAUUGACUUCCUCACCCUGCUAUUUACAUCUUUUCAUAUUUUCAUCAAUUGAUUCGUCAAAUAUACAUUUAAUUUGAUGCUUUUAAAUGUCUUGUUUCAAGAGACGAAGAGACAGUGAGAGUCAAAAAGGCCAGCCAAGGUAGAGACUAUUUGUUUCUUUCUCAUGUCAUCCUCAUCUCUUAUCAUCCUCAUAUAACACCUUGCUGUAUUAUUAAGAUAAUUAUCAUUGGAUGGUAAUGAUUGCUUGACAAUCUCUCAAUAAGUAUCGUGUACAUAUUCAGUGGGUGGUAAAGUGAAAACACGCAAAGAUUUAUUCCAUUUUCUUUAUCGUCUUUUUUCCCCUGAGAAAGGAAAUUAAUAUAAAAGACCAAGCCAAAUCCGGACAAGGAUGAUAUUGGAAAUUGUAUCUUGAUAUAAUCAUGAUUGGUGACAAUAUUUAAACUAAUCUCAACAUUGAAUCUUAUAACUUUCAAUUUAAGCUUGCCUUUUUGAAUAAUACAACUUGGAAAGACAACAAAAUGUGCAGCUUAUAAAAAAAAGGAUCUGGUGACUCAUUCAAAUCUUGAUUCAAGUUUUUCUUCAUGCUGUUGGUCCUGGUUAAUAUUGAAGUUAUAAUCAAAAAUGAUGAGGACGGUGAGAAGGAAAAAAUACAAGGAGUAAUCAGUAUAAUGAAAGAGAUUGGGUGAGAAAGCAGGAGAAGGGAAUGAUGAUGAUCUGGAAGAUGGAGAUGGAGAUGAAGAUGGGAAAAAAGCAAGUAGAUUUGAUGGAGGAAUCGGAACCUUGAGAUUUUGGGAAACCAAAUUUUGGGUUAAGCGAUUAAAUUGAAAAUUGUCUAUUUAAUAGGUUUACGGUCAGGGUUAAGAUCAUCGAUCGACCGGUCAACAUUGUUGAGUUUAAGAGUUGGAAAAAGAUGAACAACAACAAAAAGAGAGAGAAGAGAUAAAAUGAUGAUCAGAAUUGGUAAACCGGUUUGUAGGUAAAAAGUUAUCAUGAUGAUGAACAAGAAAAAGCUUUCUCUUUCAUUUGUCUCAUCAACAUCAUCUUUCUCAUCCCAACCCAAUAAGGGAUUGAUAAACUCUGGAUAAGAGAGGGUAAAAUCAAGGUACAGUUGAAUGAGCAGGCGAAGCAGCAAACAAAAAAUAAGUUGCCUUGUAACUUGUAUCUUAAUCUGGUGAAAGUUUCAACCAUUCAACAUCAUUUAGCUUAAUUUUUUAACAACACUACAUUUUUACCGAGAUACCAAUCAAUUAAUUUAGGAUUUAGCUUGAGCAUUUCAACAUUUGAUACGUUAAUUGAUUCCCAUUCUUGUGAACAUUAAUUAAUUGAUUUAUCAAGUAUCCAGAUAUUUGUUUUACUUUUGUUAGUUACUCCAACAUUGAUCAUCACUUUUACUUUGAUUCAAUUUUGCUUCUCCUUUGGAUCCUCUUGAUGAUAUAAAUGGUUAAAUAUGAUUGCUAUUAUUAUUGUUAUAAAAGAGACGUCUUUCUGUCGAUUUGUUUUAAUGACUUUUUCACUUUUCUCUUCAGGAAAUGUUCAAGUGAAAUAUUAUUUCCUGCAGUUGAUCAUUCCUUAGCAUUUUCAGACUCCAAUAGUUUCCAAAGUCAUCUUGAAUAAACACCAUUUUUCAACCCGAAA